rnacentral:misc_RNA from 1 species
UUCCACAUUGAUCUGUUCAUUAAUAGCAGCUUCAGAUUCAUCGCAGUAUUUCUGUCGGGCAAGAGAGGCUUGUGGAAGAGAAGGGACAAGCAUAAACUCUUUCUUCAACUCCUCAAAAGGCUCAAACACAACCCCUGUCAAGGGCUUAUGGUUUGUCCCCUUUGAAGCACAAACCAUGAACCCAUUUCCACUUUUAGCAGAAAAACUCUUGUGGGUUAACAGAUUUUCCCCAUUUGUAGACUUAGGUGUGUUCAAUAGAGCAAAAGCUGGAGCAACCUUGAGAAGCAUGAUGGAAAAUUAGGGUUAUGAAUAAACAGGGGAGAAAAUUCAGUGUGUGG